CCUCCGUAUGUUGUGGGUGCGGCCCUGAAAGAAAAAAAAGGAAACUAUGAAGGAACCAACUGCUGACGUUUGUGUACACCCCCCACCCCGUCUUGCUGGGACCAGCCUGGAGAACGAAAGGAACCCAACCCAGAGUCAGGAGCUCCCGUCCCUGCCCCUGGGCACAGGCCCAGCCGCAGCCCCUGCUGUUUCUGUGGGACACUCUACAGAACCCCACAGAACCCUCCUUUUGCCCCAGCUGUCUUGCUUUGGUUUUUGUCACACCAAAAACAUCCUCCCACCACAUUGCCCACCAUGAGCUUAUGCAUGGGCAGAAGUGUCCCUGGCAGGUCCUCUGGCCUGGCACCUGAGCCCAGGACUGGCUCUCCCCCAAAGAUGGUGGGGACCCUGCACCCCACUGUCCCCCACCCUAGGCCCACCUUGCAAGGAGCCCAUCCCUUGCCGCCCUCUCGGAGGCACCGUGGGAUCGAAGGUAGGUUUGAGGCCAUCUAGACCAUGACACCCCCACGCAAGUUCCUUGGCACUGAGUUUCCCGCCCACCACCCUGUCCAUGUCACCCUCAGAGGAGCUCUCUCCUGCCCACCUCCUCCCCUUCAAGGAACUGUGCCUCCUCUCUGCCCAGCAGGCUCACCGUCUUGAGGGAGUGACUCUCCAGUGGGCCCCUGGGCCUCCUCCUUCCGUCCUUGUGCCCCCGCCCAGCGUGGCUCCAAUCACUCCCACCUCCCCAACUGUUUUCACCAUCCCCAUCUGGCAAACCCCAGCCACACACAGCUCUGCCCACCCACCUCCCCCGGGGCCUGCCCUCGCUGCUGCAGAGUGCCUCAAUGACCCCAGCUGAGGACGGGUGCACCCCCGCUGCCCAGCCUGCCUGCCAACAUCGCAUCAACUUUCUUCGAUCUGCAGUCUCCUCAAACCUCUGGCCCCACCUCCCAUGUCUCAGAGAUGAGCCCACGGCCUCCCUCACAGAGAAAACAGAAGCCGCAGGGGCAGGACCUGUCGCAUGGCCAGAGCCCGGGCCUCCUCCCUCACCCCCACCUCCCCUUCCACCGCUACCACGGAGGUUGGGCCCUCUGCCCUCCCCACCCCCAGCCUUUCCCUCUCAUCAUCAGGAUUCAACUCAGUCUCUGCCACCUUAAAGCACUGGAGCGAAACCCCCCCGGCAUGAUGUCUGCCCGGCCAUUUGCCUCCUUAGCCUUUCCUGCCCCAGGUGAAUUUCUUGAAACUGUUCCUCCAGGGUCACCAGCACCAUCCACCUCCUGUGGCCCAGUCCCCGCUCGCCAGGGGAACCUCUAGUCUGCCUCUUGCAUGUCUCUGAUGGCAAGCGUGGCUUUGGGGGCCGCCCGGCCCUGCCCAGCAGCGGCUCCUCCACCGGGGAUGAGGGAGUGUGUUCCCCUCCGAGACGUGUGAGCAGGUACAGGACCUUGCCUGAAACUCCCCAGACCAUGUUCCAGGACUGCCUUCUUUUCAGCCACAGGCCCAGGCCGCUGGAGGCCAGCCACCUCUGCCAGGAUGUCCCCCAGGGGGCUAACCCCUCCCCCUCCCCAGCGGCUCCCUGCAUCAGCAAACAGAAGGGCUGAGCCAUCCACUCUGUCCCCGCAGCACCCACCUCCGUGCUGAAUCCCACUUUCCUAAUGGGCAUGGGAUGCCAUCACCUCCCUCCUCCUGGCGAAAGAACCCGAGGCAGGGACGCCUGCUGGGGCUUCCUACCUUCCUCAGGUGGAAAGCCAAGCGCUUUCAUGUGGCAGGUGCUCAGCACUUGUCGAUUUAUUCAUCCAGCAAAUGUUUAUUGAGCUCCCUUGGCGCGUGCAGGAGGGACGGGGAGUGACCAGGUCACUCAUGAGGACCCGAAAGCGGGAGCAGGACCGGAGCAGGGGAGGACGGAAGAGGAACUAGAAAUAGACGCAGAGAUUCUGAGAGGAUCGGUCAUGUCUGUGAUCAGGGGGUGACAGGACCACUGUCCCCUCGCAUGCGCAGAGGAAUGAGGAAGUGCUGGCGCCCAGUCUGCUCGGUUGACAGCGCGGCAUCUUGCGUGGAGAGCAGUUCGGUUCCAUCUGUCCCCACGAACACAGGCUCACCUUCGGCCAGAAUCCCCACUUGGAGGAAUCCUCAUAGACCCACCCAUGAGCUCCCGAAGAAGCGUUGUAGAGAGCGCUCUUGGAAAGCCUGUGCAUGGCCUCGCCGCUCACUACCAAAGGAUCAGUUAAGUCCCUACUGGUACAGUGUCAACCAGAAGAGAGGACGGCGCUCUCUGUCACACACAUUUUUACCUGUACAUGCAUGUAUGUGUGUACGUGACGCCAGGAUGCCCCCACCCAACAGAAUGCACUAGGGCCCAGGAACCGGGCGCCCAUCUGGACCUGGAAGAGGAAUCCACAGUCGGUGGUAAGGAGAAGUUCUCACGUAUUAAAGUUCUUACAAAACCGUC